UACGUAGGGUGCGAGCGUUGUCCGGAAUUAUUGGGCGUAAAGAGCUCGUAGGCGGUGUGUCACGUCGUUCGUGAAAACCUGCAGCUUAACUGUGGCGUGCGGUCGAUACGGGCAUCACUGGAGUUCGGCAGGGGAGACUGGAAUUCCUGGUGUAGCGGUGAAAUGCGCAGAUAUCAGGAGGAACACCGGUGGCGAAGGCGGGUCUCUGGGCCGAUACUGAC
rnacentral:rRNA from 1 species